rnacentral:misc_RNA from 1 species
GUAGGUGAACCUGCGGAAGGAUCAUUAACGAAUAACUAUGGUGUCUUGGUUGUAGCUGGCUCCUCGGAGCAUUGUGCACGCCCGCCAUUUUUAUCUAUCCACCUGUGCACCGACUGUAGGUCUGGAUGACUCUCGUGCUCUCUGAGUGCGGAUGCGAGGAUUGCCCUCUUUGAGGUGUCUCUCCUCGAAUUUCCAGGCUCUACGUCUUUUUACACACCCCACAAGUAUGAUAUAGAAUGUAGUCAAUGGGCUUGAUCGCCUAUAAAACACUAUACAACUUUCAGCAACGGAUCUCUUGGCUCUC